GACGAACGCUGGCGGCGUGCUUAACACAUGCAAGUCGAACGGAAAGGCCCCUGCUUGCAGGGGUGCUCGAGUGGCGAACGGGUGAGUAACACGUGGGUGAUCUGCCCUUCACUUCGGGAUAAGCCUGGGAAACUGGGUCUAAUACCGGAUAGGACCAAUCUUUAGUGUGGUUGGUGGAAAGUUUUUUCGGUGGAGGAUGAGCCCGCGGUCUAUCAGCUUGUUGGUGGGCAACGGCUUACCAAGUCGACGAUCAGUAGCCGGACUGAGAGGUUGAACGGCCACAUUGGGACUGAGAUACGGCCCAG
rnacentral:rRNA from 1 species